rnacentral:rRNA from 1 species
UACGUAGGGUGCAAGCGUUAAUCGGAAUUACUGGGCGUAAAGCGUGCGCAGGCGGUUUUGUAAGUUUGUCGUGAAAGCCCCGGGCUCAACCUGGGAAUUGCGAUGAAGACUGCAAGGCUUGAAUCUGGCAGAGGGGGGUAGAAUUCCACGUGUAGCAGUGAAAUGCGUAGAGAUGUGGAGGAACACCGAUGGCGAAGGCGGCAUCCUGGACCGGCAUUGACGCUGAGGCGCGAAAGCCAGGGGAGCAAACGGG